GUAGAGGUCCUUCGGGACCUUGAGAGUGGCGAACGGGUGAGUAACACGUAGGUGAUCUACCCUGGUGUUGGGGAUAGCCUGUGGAAACACAGGGUAAUACCGAAUAGGUUUCGCGCACUAUGGUGUGUGAAGCAAAGGGGCUUCGGCCUCGCACUGGGAUGAGCCUGCGGCUGAUUAGUUAGUUGGUGGGGUAACGGCCUACCAAGGCGACGAUCAGUAGCCGGCCUGAGAGGGUGAUCGGCCACACUGGGACUGAGAUACGGCCCAGACUCCUACGGGAGGCAGCAGCUAAGAAUCUUCCGCAAUGGGCGAAAGCCUGACGGAGCGACGCCGCGUGGGUGAAGAAGGCGGAAACGUUGUAAAGCCCUUUUCUACGUGAGGAAUAAGCGCGAGAGGAAAUGCUUGCGUGAUGACGUUAGCGUAGGAAUAAGCCCCGGCUAAUUACGUGCCAGCAGCCGCGGUAACACGUAUGGGGCGAGCGUUGUUCGGAAUUAUUGGGCGUAAAGGGCGCGUAGGCGGUCUGGCAAGCUUGGUGUGUAAGCCCACAGCUCAACUGUGGAGACGCGCUGAGAACUGUCUGACUUGAGUUCUGGAGGGGAAGCUGGAAUUCCUGGUGUAGGGGUGAAAUCUGUAGAUAUCAGGAAGAACAUCAGUGGCGAAGGCGAGCUUCUGGCCAAGGACUGACGCUGAGGCGCGAAAGCGUGGGGAGCAAACAGGAUUAGAUACCCUGGUAGUCCACGCCGUAAACGAUGUGCACUAGGUGUCGGACCAUGGAG
rnacentral:rRNA from 1 species